rnacentral:rRNA from 1 species
GACGAACGCUGGCGGCGUGCUUAACACAUGCAAGUCGAACGAUGAACCGGAGCUUGCUCCGGGGAUUAGUGGCGAACGGUGAGUAACACGUGGGCAACCUGCCCCCAGACAUCGGGAUAACCAUUCGAAGGAUGGCUAAUACCGGAUAUGACCACUUCGGGCAUCCGAUGGUGGUGGAAAGGAUUCUGGUCUGGGAUGGGCCCGCGGCCUAUCAGCUAGUUGGUGGGUAAUGGCCUACCAAGGCGACGACGGGUAGCCGGCCUGAGAGGGCGACCGGCCACACUGGGACUGAGACACGGCCCAGACUCCUACGGGAGGCAGCAGUGGGGAAUAUUGCGCAAUGGGCGAAAGCCUGACGCAGCGACGCCGCGUGAGGGACGACGGCCUUCGGUUGGUAAACCUCUUUCAGCAGGAAGAAGCGAAGUGACGGUACCUGCAGAAGAAGCACCGGCUAACUAACGUGCCAGCAGCCGCGGUAAU